UACGUAGGGUGCGAGCGUUAAUCGGAAUUACUGGGCGUAAAGUGUGCGCAGGCGGCCGAGCAAGUCGAGUGUGAAAGCCCCGAGCUUAACUUGGGAAUUGCGCUCGAAACUACUUGGCUGGAGUGUGGCAGAGGAAGGUGGAAUUCCAGGUGUAGCGGUGAAAUGCGCAGAUAUCAGGAAGAACACCCGUGGCUAAGGCGGCUCUCUAGUACGGUACUGACGCUGAGACGCGAAAGCGUGGGGAGCGAACAGG
rnacentral:rRNA from 1 species